rnacentral:rRNA from 1 species
GACGAACGCUGGCGGCGUGCCUAAUACAUGCAAGUCGAGCGAAUCACUGGGAGCUUGCUCCCGGUGGUUAGCGGCGGACGGGUGAGUAACACGUGGGCAACCUGCCUGUAAGACUGGGAUAACUUCGGGAAACCGGAGCUAAUACCGGAUAAUUUCUUCCCUCGCAUGAGGGAAGGUUGAAAGUCGGUUUCGGCUGACACUUACAGAUGGGCACGCGGCGCAUUAGCUAGUUGGUGAGGUAACGGCUCACCAAGGCGACGAUGCGUAGCCGACCUGAGAGGGUGAUCGGCCACACUGGGACUGAGACACGGCCCAGACUCCUACGGGAGGCAGCAGUAGGGAAUCUUCCACAAUGGACGAAAGUCUGAUGGAGCAACGCCGCGUGAGCGAUGAAGGCCUUCGGGUCGUAAAGCUCUGUUGUCAGGGAAGAACAAGUACCGGAGUAACUGCCGGUACCUUGACGGUACCUGACCAGAAAGCCACGGCUAACUACGUGCCAGCCGCCGCAGUAAAAC